rnacentral:rRNA from 1 species
GACGAACGCUGGCGGCGUGCUUAACACAUGCAAGUCGAACGGAAAGGCCCUGCUUUUGUGGGGUGCUCGAGUGGCGAACGGGUGAGUAACACGUGAGUAACCUGCCCUUGAAUUUGGGAUAACUUCAGGAAACUGGGGCUAAUACCGGAUAGGAGCUCCUGCUGCAUGGUGGGGGUUGGAAAGUUUCGGCGGUUGGGGAUGGACUCGCGGCUUAUCAGCUUGUUGGUGGGGUAGUGGCUUACCAAGGCUUUGACGGGUAGCCGGCCUGAGAGGUUGACCGGCCACAUUGGGACUGAGAUACGGCCCAGACUCCUACGGGAGGCAACAGUGGGGAAUAUUGCACAAUGGGCGGAAGCCUGAUACAGCAACGCCGCGUGCGGGAUGACGGCCUUCGGGUUGUAAACCGCUUUCGCCUGUGACGAAGCGUGAGUGACGGUAAUGAGUAAAGAAGCACCGGCUAACUACGUG